rnacentral:rRNA from 1 species
GAGUUUGAUCCUGGCUCAGGAUGAACGCUAGCUACAGGCUUAACACAUGCAAGUCGAGGGGCAGCAUGAACUUAGCUUGCUAAGUUUGAUGGCGACCGGCGCACGGGUGAGUAACACGUAUCCAACCUGCCGAUGACUCGGGGAUAGCCUUUCGAAAGAAAGAUUAAUACCCGAUGGCAUAGUUCUUCCGCAUGGUAGAACUAUUAAAGAACUUCGGUCAUCGAUGGGGAUGCGUUCCAUUAGGUUGUUGGCGGGGUAACGGCCCACCAAGCCUUCGAUGGAUAGGGGUUCUGAGAGGAAGGCCCCCCACAUUGGAACUGAGACACGGUCCAAACUCCUACGGGAGGCAGCAGUGAGGAAUAUUGGUCAAUGGACGAGAGUCUGAACCAGCCAAGUAGCGUGAAGGAUGACUGCCCUAUGGGUUGUAAACUUCUUUUAUACGGGAAUAAAGUGAGGCACGUGUGCCUUCUUGUAUGUACCGUAUGA